AGCUAAAGGAGUGUUAAAAAAAAUAAACUAAAAGUUCACUUUCCACUUUAAGGUUGUAGGUCGAUGCAUAAAAGUGGGUGUCCUUGAGCACAUUCACAACUUCUAGGACUCUUCAGUGGGCUUAAUGGAAGAUUUCACGUUCAGUGACAAUUGGUAUAAUUGUAACAUCAGAGGGUCUGCUCUUCGGGUUGGGUUCCGGACUGAGGGGCAUUCUGUGAGGAGUUUGCAUGUUCAUUCCGUGGGUUGUUCCGGGAUACUCCGGUUUUCUUUCACUUUCAAGAUUGGAGAUGCUGGUUAAAUCUGGUUUUCUCCACCCCGCGCCUGAUUCAGACACUAUUAUUCGGGAUAUCUGAAGCGGCUAAGCGGCUCACAGCUCCACCAGUAAGAGUUCACGCCUGCGCAUGCUGACGCAGCUCCCUGUUUGGACUGCUGGGGAGAGAUCAGGAGAGAGAGAAGGGGGGAUGGGGGAGAUUUGACCUUUUUCCCCCCCAGGGGCAGUACCUGAUACCCCCUGCCCAGGACAGUGAAGGAUCCUGAGGUGUGCGAGGAAGAUCGAAGAGGCACAAAAGACAGGCGUAGUACUCAUUUGUGUGUUAGCAUGUGCACAG